UCGUCUAUUUUAAAUGAGGAUGAGGGA
rnacentral:sRNA from 1 species